UGGUGAGCGGCGGCGUGGCAAAUC
rnacentral:miRNA from 14 species